rnacentral:snRNA from 1 species
GUGUUCACUUCGGCAGCACAUACACUAAAAUUGGAACGAUACAGAGAAGAUUAGCAUGGCCCCUGCACAAGGAUGACACACAAAUUCGUGAAGUGUUCCAUAUUUUU